rnacentral:rRNA from 1 species
AGUGAACGCUGGCGGUAGGCCUAACACAUGCAAGUCGAACGGCAGCACAGUAAGAGCUUGCUCUUACGGGUGGCGAGUGGCGGACGGGUGAGGAAUACAGCGGAAUCUACUUUUUCGUGGGGGAUAACGUAGGGAAACUUACGCUAAUACCGCAUACGACCUACGGGUGAAAGCAGGUGAUCUUCGGACCUUGCGCUAUUUAAUGAGCCGAUGUCGGAUUAGCUAGUUAGCGGGGUAAAGGCCCACCAAGGCGGCGAUACGUAGGUGGGCUGAGAGGAUGGGCGCGCCCAAUGGGACGUGGGGCGGGCCCAAGCCUCCACGGGAGGGAGCCGGGGGGAAUUUUUGGAAAAGGGCGACAGUCUGACCCAGCCCCUACGGGGGGGUGAAGAAGGUCCUCGGGGUGGAAAACCCUUUUUGUAGAGAAGAAAAUGGGGGAGAUUAAAACCCCCAUCUAGGGACGGUACCCAAAGAAAAAGCGACGGCUAACUUCGUG